rnacentral:lncRNA from 1 species
AACCUUUCUUUGAGAACUUCCACGAUUCUUUGUUUCAUUUCUGAGAUAUUUCAUUUCUAAUCGAGCAAAUGUCAAAUACACAACGAGGACACCAACACCCAACGGACCCAUACAUGCACAUCCUUGUCAUUGCAUGACUUAGGAUGGAUCACCAAACCACAUCACUCCAAAACUUGGACAUCCAAAUUAGCUGUCACUGUCAGCACCAUGAACUUCUUGAACUAUAUCCUACCUAUGUACACAACGCACACUCCAGAGAACUACUCUGUCAGGCCUAGCAAGAAUCAAGAAUCAGAUGAGGAACAGAUCAGAUCUGCUAGUCGUGAUAGCAUAGGAGCGCGACGACGCAUCGGCGGAUGAUGUAGAGCCUGGCCUUGUGCUCCCUCAGCUGUUGGUUGACAGCUGCANUCAGUUCCCUGGGCCACAAGUGGCAUCAGAGCCCGGACAAUGUCACCGCCGAAGAAGGCCGGCGACGACGACGGCAGUACUUCGCCUCGUGCGAGGAUCGGGGAUCCUCCCGCAGCCGCCUCAGGGCGCGAGCUGGCGGUGCCACGGCAGUACGCGCCGGUCGUGUCGGGGUCCAGCAACGUGCCGACGCUGACAAGCUCAAACUACGCGGAGUGGAGCCUCCUGAUGGAGGUUAGCCUGCAGGCUCGAGGCCUGUGGGGUGCGGUCGUGGGUCUGGAGGAUCUCGACGACGAGUACGGCUACCGCAACGACAAGGGCGCGCUGGAACUGAUCUACCGAUCGGUGCCGGCGGCGAUGCUCCCGGUGCUUCGGAAGCACAAGUCCGCGCAGGCGACUUGGGACGCCAUCUGCAAGAUGCGUGCCGGUUCCGAGAAGCUGCGGGACGCCAAGGCACAAUCACUCCGAUCGGAGUACGAUCAGCUGCGGCACAGACCUGGUGAGUCUGUUGACGAUCUCGCGAUGCGCUUGACAGGCCUCACAGCAAGACUUGCGGAGCUCGGGGAUCCGGAGUCUGACAAGAGGGUGAUCCAGAAGUGGCUUCGGAUCGUCCCCAAGCGCUACUCCCAGCUCGCUCACUCCAUCGACAACCUUGUCGACCUGAACACAACCUCGAUCGAGGAGAUCGUGGGGAGGUUCAAGGCGGCGGAGGAACGUGACGAGCAGGACGCGGAAGAAGAAGGGGGCACCAAGCUCUACCUCACUGAGGAGGAGUGGCGCGCACGCGCUGGACGCCGCGAGAGCGGUGGAUCAUCUGGCGGCGGCUCGAACGGCGGCAAGAAGCCGCGUGGCAAGCCAAGCUACCGCGGCAGGGACGGCGGUCGUGUCGGCAACGGCAAGGGCGGUCCGCGGCGCGAAGGGAACUGCCGCUACUGCGGCAAAGCUGGCCACUGGGCCCGCGAGUGCCGCAAGAAGGAGCGCGACGAGGCCGGUGGCGAAGCUCACGUCGCCGAGGCCGAAGAUGAGGACCCAGCUCUGUUGAUGGUGCAGGUGACGCCGUCUCCGGGGGAGCUGGGCACGGACGAGGAAGGAGACAUCGUCGUCCACCUCAACGAAGAACGCGCCAAGGUAUGCCUCGGUGCGGAGGACGAACACAAGGAGCCAAGGUGGCACAUGGACACAGGCGCGUCCAAUCACAUGACCGGCAACGACACCGUCUUCAGCGAGCUGGAUCGGAACGUGAGCGGCACUGUUCGCUUCGGCGACGGCUCCGUCGUCCAGAUCAAGGGGCGCGGCACGGUGGUCUUCGUCGCGCACGGUGGUCACCACCGAGUUCUCUCCAGGGUCUACUUCAUCCCGCGCCUUCGGACGUCGAUCGUCUCCAUCGGGCAACUCGAUGAGGUGGGGUGCUCCGCCCUGGUGCAGGGCGGGUUCAUGGUGCUGCGCGAUCGGCAGCAGGAUCUCAUCGCCAAGGUGCCACGGACGGGAAAUCGCCUGUACACCGUCGAACUGAAGAUCACGCGCCCGGUGUGUCUAGCCGCCUCGACCGGUGACGACGCAUGGAGGUGGCACGCACGGUACGGCCACCUGAACUUCGACGCCCUGCGGAAGUUGUCUCAGGGCAGCAUGGUGCGCGGCAUGCCCGCGAUCAAGCACGUCGGUCAAAUCUGCGACGGCUGUCUGAUCGGCAAGCAGAGGCGCACACCGUUCCCGGCGGAGGCGAACUACCGGGCCACGGAGAGGCUGGACCUGGUGCACGGAGAUCUCUGCGGCCCAAUCUCACCGCCGACGCACGGUGGGAAGAGGUACUUUCUGCUCCUGGUAGAUGACAAGACUCGGUACAUGUGGAUCGUACUGCUGAGCAGGAAAGACGAGGCGCCGGCGGCGAUCAAGCGCUGGCAGGCCAGCGUCGAGGUCGAAACAAAGAUCAAGCUCCGGGUGCUGCGCACGGACAGAGGAGGCGAGUUCACGUCGACGGAGUUCGGCGAGUACUGCGCCGAUCGAGGGGUGCGCCGUCAUCUGACCGCUCCCUACUCGCCGCAGCAGAACGGCGUCGUCGAGCGGCGAAAUCAGUCCGUGGUUGGCACGGCGCGAUGUCUCUUGAAGGCAAAGGGCGUACCAAAUGAGUUCUGGGGGGAGGCCGUGAACACAGCAGUGCAUCUGCUCAACUGUGCUCCCACCAAGUCCGUGCGCGACGCGACGCCGCACGAGGCGUGGCAUGGAGCAAAGCCCGCCGUCGGCCAUUUCCGAACGUUCGGCUGCAUCGCUCACGUCAAGAUCACGAAGCCUGGACUGAAGAAGCUCGAUGAUCGCAGUCUCCGGACUAUGUUCAUAGGAUAUGAGCACGGCACCUCCAAGGCAUGGCGCGUGUACGACCCCAUCGGCAAGCGCGUCCACAUAACCAGGGACGCCGUCUUCGACGAGCUGGCAAGCUGGAGCUGGGAGACGCCGGAGCAGGAGCCGGGCUCAUUCAUCAUCGACUACGCGGCACCUAUCGGCGUGACUCAAGCACCCGCGUCGCACGGGGAAAAGGACGUGGACACGACGCCCUCGGCAUCAUCACCUGCACCUGCGCUCACGCCGCUCUCGUCAACUGUCACACCUGCGCGGGAGGCGUUCAGGGGCAGGGGGGUGGCGGCCGGAUAUGUAUCCCCACCGGACGGAGCCACGCCGGACUCUGAACUGGAUGGAGAAGAAGCGCCACGCCGGUACCGCACGAUGGACAAUGUCAUCAGCGAGUCUGAUACUGUCACUCUUGAGGAGCUGCACCUCGCCACGGGUGACGAGCCAAGCUCCUUCGAGGAGGCAGAGCCACACGCGGCAUGGCGUGCAGCGAUGAUGGACGAGAUGGGCUCCAUAGAAGAAAACAAGACUUGGACGCUGACAACGCUUCCCGCCGGCAAGCGGCCGAUCGGCCUGAAGUGGGUGUUCAAACUCAAGAGAAAUUCUGCCGGCGAGGUGAUCAAGCAUAAAGCAAGGUUAGUGGCAAAGGGGUAUGUGCAACGCGCAGGUGUGGACUUCGACGAGGUCUUCGCACCAGUGGCACGGCUCGACUCCGUCCGGCUGCUCCUCGCCAUUGCUGCACACUGUGGCUGGGAAGUGCAUCAUCUUGACGUCAAGUCAGCGUUCCUGAAUGGGGAGCUUGAAGAGGAAGUCUACGUCACGCAGCCGCCGGGAUUUGAGCAAGCCGGCGAGGAAGAGAAAGUGCUGCGUCUUAGCAAAGCACUGUAUGGGCUGCGCCAGGCGCCGAGGGCGUGGAACGCCAAGCUUGACACCACACUACUGUCGCUUGGGUUUCAGCGUAGUCCAUCAGAUCAUGCAGUGUAUGUGCGGCGUGACGGCGAAGAAAGGGUGCUGCUGGGGGUGUAUGUGGAUGAUCUGAUCAUCACAGGAUCAAGUACAGAGGUGGUGGCGCGAUUCAAGGAGCAGAUGCUGUCCACCUUCUCCAUGAGUGAUCUGGGCUUGCUGUCUUUCUACCUCGGUAUUGAAGUGCAGCAGAGCUCCAGUGGCAUUACUCUCAAGCAGGCAGCAUAUGCAGCAAAGCUGGUUGACAGGGCGGGGCUCUCAGGUUGCAACCCUGUUGGCAUCCCAAUGGAGCCUCGGCUCAAGCUAAGCAAGAACAGCUCAAAUCCUCCGGUGGAUGUGACCCUUUACCGAAGCAUCGUUGGAAGCUUGCGUUACUUGGUUCACACACGGCCAGACAUCACCUUCGCCGUCGGUUUCAUCAGCAGAUUCAUGGAAGCUCCAACGACUGAACAUUGGGCGGCAGUGAAACAGCUGAUCCGCUACAUUGCUGGCACUCUGCAUUACGGAUGCAGGUAUGAGCGUGGCACGGGGGAGCCACGUCUUCUCGGCUACAGCGACGCUGAUUGGGCCGGGGAUGUCGAUGAUCGAAAGAGCACCUCCGGCAUGGUCUUCUUCCUUGGGGGGAGCGUGGUGUGCUGGCAGUCCCUGAAGCAGAAAGGGAUAGCACUCUCAACGUGCGAAGCCGAGUACAUCUCUGCAACCACGGCGGCAUGUCAAGGUGUUUGGCUUCGACGCAUGAUCAGAGAAUUGCGUGGAGAAGAGAGAAGCACGACGAUCCUCAUCGACAAUCAGUCUGCGAUACAGCUGUGCAAGAACCCUGUAUUCCAUGACAGGAGCAAGCAUAUCGAGACCCGGUACCACUUCAUUCGUGAGUGCGUGCAGGACGGAAGGAUCAACGUCGAGCACGUCAGCACCAACGAGCAGCUAGCGGACAUCAUGACCAAGGCUCUACCUCGAGCUAGGUUCCAGGAGCUGCGCGGGAAGCUGGGCAUCGUCAACCUUGGCAGCUGAUCAAGGGGGAGAUUGUUGGUUGACAGCUGCANUCAGUUCCCUGGGCCACAUCAGCAUCCUGCUCAGCCCUCCUCCUCCCCAGUGCUUCCCAUGGCAAUGGCUCUUCACCUUGUUCAUCCUCACUCUGAGGUAGAUAGUGCGUUUGAACAGGAGGGUGGUUCAGCUUGCUAGGCUCUGCACUUGCACUGCUACCAGAGAUGGAUGUGACUCUGCUCAUCUGCUGUGUGGUUGUGGCCAAGUGCGCAGCGCUUGCGAUGCUUAUAUAGCGUGAAAAUGGCCAACUGGGGAAGAGAGACAGAGUGGCAGAGGGGCAGGCUAGUUGCGCAUAUCAUAAGCUGCUGAUCCAUGGAUCGAGAGAGAGGGAGGCUGGCAAUGGCAUGGCAUCAGGCAUCA